rnacentral:antisense_RNA from 1 species
CAGAUUUGGUGACUGUCUCCCGCAAAAGAUCCAGUUACCUUCCGAAUCGAACGUUUCCCAACGAUUGAUUCGGCGAUCAACCCGCCUUCUGGCGGGUUUUUUCGU